GAUCAGGUUGCUGUUGGUGACGAUACCACUGUCCACUUUCUUGCUCCAGACGAAUUUGGUGCUGCAGCUGCUGUAUUUUUAUAGGGUCCCUCACACAGCUUACGUGGGCAGCUACCACAUACCCGGGCGCAGGACUGCGGGAGCCCGGCGGCGGGAGCGGGACGGGGCGCGGCGGCCGCAGGUACCGGCGCUAUAUAGGGCGG